rnacentral:rRNA from 1 species
GACAGAGGGGGCGAGCGUUGUCCGGAGUCACUAGGCGUAAAGCGCGCGCAGGCGGUGACCUAAGAGGCGUGUGAAAGCCCCCUGGCUCAACUGGGGGAGGCCACGGCAGACUGGGUCGCUCGAGCUGCGGAGAGGCCCCUCGAAUUGCCGGUGUAGCGGUGAAAUGCGUAGAGAUCGGCAGGAAGACCAAGGGGGAAGCCAGGGGGCUGGCCGCAUGCUGACGCUGAGGCGCGACAGCGUGGGGAGCAAACCGG